rnacentral:rRNA from 1 species
UGGGGAAUAUUGGACAAUGGGCGCAAGCCUGAUCCAGCAAUGCCGCGUGUGUGAAGAAGGCCUUCGGGUUGUAAAGCACUUUUAUCAGGAGCGAAACGCUGUCGGCUAAUACCCGGCGGAACUGACGGUACCUGAGGAAUAAGCACCGGCUAACUUCGUGCCAGCAGCCGCGGUAAUACGAAGGGUGCAAGCGUUAAUCGGAAUUACUGGGCGUAAAGCGUGCGUAGGCGGUUUCUUAAGUCUGCUGUGAAAUCCCCGGGCUCAACCUGGGAAUGGCAGUGGAUACUGGGAGGCUAGAGUGUGUCAGAGGGUGGUGGAAUUCCCGGUGUAGCGGUGAAAUGCGUAGAGAUCGGGAGGAACAUCAGUGGCGAAGGCGGCCACCUGGGACAACACUGACGCUGAGGCACGAAAGCGUGGGGAGCAAACAGGAUUAGAUACCCUGGUAGUCCACGCCCUAAAACGAUGCGAACUGGAUGUUGGUCUCAACUCGGAGAUCAGUGUCGAAGUUAACGCGUUAAAGUUCGCCGCCUGGGGAGUACGGUCGCAAGACUGAAACUCAAAGGAAUUGACGGGGUCAUAGCUGUUUCCUG